rnacentral:lncRNA from 1 species
CCACUAGGCACCUGGCUGAACUUUAGAAACAUCUCAUCUGUGGGAACAAAAGAGACAGAAGCCCCCUAUCUGUGGAACAAGAAGAAAUAACUCAAAGUAUCCAAAUGUCUAAACCCUGAGUCAGAACCGAGAGAAACCUUAGGAUAAAACGGAGUCACAGGCAUGGAACAAUUGGGAGUCUCACUGAGGAAAGGACGCUUUGCCUCAGACCCGGACAAUCGGCACUCCAGCCCGCAUACAAACUGUUGGGACUUCCCCGGCUGACUGUGGUGUGGAUGUGGAUGUUGAUGUGACAGAUAAGUUACUUUUGCAUGUUGAACUGGAGUGCAUAUCUGGGAUAUCCUACUUGGUUUAGACAUGUCUCUGCUUGAGGAAGAACGAGGGGCAGAUGACAGCUGCUUGGAUGACGGAUGUAAACAAGUGGUCUUUGUGCUGGUGUUUGCACUGGAGCUGUUCCCAUUAGAAAGAAUGAAAUCUGCUUCAAGGAAACCAAAGGAGGAGCCUUUCCUGUCAAAGGAUG